rnacentral:rRNA from 1 species
AGUGAACGCUGGCGGUAGGCCUAACACAUGCAAGUCGAACGGCAGCACAGUAAGAGCUUGCUCUUACGGGUGGCGAGUGGCGGACGAGUGAGGAAUACAUCGGAAUCUACUUUUUCGUGGGGGAUAACGUAGGGAAACUUACGCUAAUACCGCAUACGACCUACGGGUGAAAGCAGGGGAUCUUCGGACCUUGCGCGAUUGAAUGAGUCGAUGUCGGAUUAGCUAGUUGGCGGGGUAAAGGCCCACCAAGGCGACGAUCCGUAGCUGGUCUGAGAGGAUGAUCAGCCACACUGGAACUGAGACACGGUCCAGACUCCUACGGGAGGCAGCAGUGGGGAAUAUUGGACAAUGGGCGCAAGCCUGAUCCAGCCAUACCGCGUGGGUGAAGAAGGCCUUCGGGUUGUAAAGCCCUUUUGUUGGGAAAGAAAAGCAGCAGGUUAAUACCCCGCUGUUCUGACGGUACCCAAAGAAUAAGCACCGGCUAACUUCGUG